ensembl:lncRNA
GCACACUAUAGUUGAACCAUUCAGUCUCGCCAAAUUUCACAAUCAAUGCUGCCUCCGUCCACUCAAUGAAGGCAAGGGGAGCUUUCUCCAAGAUUCAGGUCUUUAGUCUAAUCAGUGCCAAGACGUAACACGUAACACCUUGUGGUGGGUUUCCUCUGUGCACACUGGACGUGAACAUUUACUCCAGCACAGCGAUCUGUCAGACACAAGAUUUUAAGAACAACAACAACAGAGAGGUGGUGAGGAUGAACAUGGAAAUGGCCAGCACUCUUAGAAGCAAGCCAGAUACUGCUGGUGUUUCUGCUGGGUCAGGUGAUAUGAUGGAUGUCCAGAUUCAACUCAAGAAGUUUGAUAAGUAGAUGAGUGACUAUCAACAUGUGAAUUAAUAAAUCAAAGCUGUAUAACAGAAACAAAUUCUUAAAUAAAAGUUUGAAGGUGGAAAGGUAGGCUAUAAUUGUAGUAGAGCAUAAAAUGUACAUUCAAAUAGGUUACAUCUUAUAUCUGCACAGUUUUAGAUCACCUGCUGUUUUAUUUUGUUGCAAGUGGAACAUAAGGACACACUCUCCCCCAUAUUUAUUGAUUCUGGAGUGCAGAUAUUCAAUCUCGUUUGAAUAUGUUUUCAUUUUGCUUUCUUCCCAUAGUGCAUCCUGGUGCCAUGGUAAGCGAUAUGAUGCUUUGGACAAUGCUUGGUCCUGCCAUUCAUGUCGAUGUUACUUUAGCAAUGCACACGCUCCCGGCCAUCCACGUGAUGUAAAAGAAAACAUGAUUCAUCAGACCAGGCCACCUUCUUCCAUUGCUCUGUGGUCCAGUUCUGAUGUUCACAUGCCCAUUGUAGGUGCCUUCGGCAGUGGACAGGGGUCAGCAUGGGCCCCCUGACUGGUCUGGGGUUAGGCAGCCCCAUACGCAACAAACUGCGAUCCACUGUGUGUUCUGACACCUUUCUGUCAGUACCAGCAUUAAACUCUUCAGCAAUUUGAGCUACAGUAACUCGUCUGUUGGCCAGCCUUUGCUCCCCACGUGUAUCAAUGAGCCUUGGCCACCCAUGAUUCUGUCACCGGUUCACCGCUUUUCCUUCCUUGGACCACUUUUGAUAGGUGCUGACCACUGCAGACUUCCCACAAGAGCUGCAGAUUUGGAGAUGUUCUGACCCAGUCAUCUGACCAUCACAAUCCUGUUUUUUAGCCCUUCUGUUAUGUUAACAUUUUGGUUACACUCACUAUGUUAGCGGGUCAAAUGGUGUUAAAUCACUAGAACCGUCAAAUGCCUAUGCCAAUUAGCGUUUGAGUUUGUAAUUAAAAUACAACUGCCAUUUUGAAAGCUACAGCCUCCUCCUUCUAUGACUUUUACUAAAUAGGUGUAUAUUACAUUGUUCCGUUGUCAGAAUUCUAAACUUACAAACAGAAAACGAUUUAGAGACGAUCUACCUGUUUUUUUCACCCUGUUUUUAUACUAAAUCCGCCAACAGCCCACGCCACUUAGCAUUGGUACCCAAAUGGUACCCAGAUGCUAAUCACC